AUGAACGCUAGCUACAGGCUUAACACAUGCAAGUCGAGGGGCAUCAGGAAGAAAGCUUGCUUUCUUUGCUGGCGACCGGCGCACGGGUGAGUAACACGUAUCCAACCUGCCCUUUACUCGGGGAUAGCCUUUCGAAAGAAAGAUUAAUACCCGAUGGCAUAAUGAUUCCGCAUGGUUUCAUUAUUAAAGGAUUCCGGUAAAGGAUGGGGAUGCGUUCCAUUAGGUUGUUGGUGAGGUAACGGCCCACCAAGCCUUCGAUGGAUAGGGGUUCUGAGAGGAAGGUCCCCCACAUUGGAACUGAGACACGGUCCAAACUCCUACGGGAGGCAGCAGUGAGGAAUAUUGGUCAAUGGGCGCUAGCCUGAACCAGCCAAGUAGCGUGAAGGAUGAAGGCUCUAUGGGUCGUAAACUUCUUUUAUAUAAGAAUAAAGUGCAGUAUGUAUACUGUUUUGUAUGUAUUAUAUGAAUAAGGAUCGGCUAACUCCGUGCCAGCAGCCGCGGUAAUACGGACGAUCCGAGCGUUAUCCGGAUUUAUUGGGUUUAAAGGGAGCGUAGGUGGACUGGUAAGUCAGUUGUGAAAGUUUGCGGCUCAACCGUAAAAUUGCAGUUGAUACUGUCAGUCUUGAGUACAGUAGAGGUGGGCGGAAUUCGUGGUGUAGCGGUGAAAUGCUUAGAUAUCACGAAGAACUCCGAUUGCGAAGGCAGCUCACUGGACUGCAACUGACACUGAUGCUCGAAAGUGUGGGUAUCAAACAGGAUUAGAUACCCUGGUAGUCCACACAGUAAACGAUGAAUACUCGCUGUUUGCGAUAUACAGUAAGCGGCCAAGCGAAAGCAUUAAGUAUUCCACCUGGGGAGUACGCCGGCAACGGUGAAACUCAAAGGAAUUGACGGGGGCCCGCACAAGCGGAGGAACAUGUGGUUUAAUUCGAUGAUACGCGAGGAACCUUACCCGGGCUUAAAUUGCAGUGGAAUGAUGUGGAAACAUGUCAGUGAGCAAUCACCGCUGUGAAGGUGCUGCAUGGUUGUCGUCAGCUCGUGCCGUGAGGUGUCGGCUUAAGUGCCAUAACGAGCGCAACCCUUAUCUUUAGUUACUAACAGGUUAUGCUGAGGACUCUGGAGAGACUGCCGUCGUAAGAUGUGAGGAAGGUGGGGAUGACGUCAAAUCAGCACGGCCCUUACGUCCGGGGCUACACACGUGUUACAAUGGGGGGUACAGAAGGCAGCUAGCGGGUGACCGUAUGCUAAUCCCAAAAGCCUCUCUCAGUUCGGAUCGAAGUCUGCAACCCGACUUCGUGAAGCUGGAUUCGCUAGUAAUCGCGCAUCAGCCACGGCGCGGUGAAUACGUUCCCGGGCCUUGUACACACCGCCCGUCAAGCCAUGGGAGCCGGGGGUACCUGAAGUACGUAACCGCAAGGAUCGUCCUAGGGUAAAACUGGUGACUGGGGCU
rnacentral:rRNA from 1 species